UACGGGGGGAGCAAGCGUUGUUCGGAUUUACUGGGCGUAAAGGGCGCGUAGGCGGUCGUGCCAAGUCGCUUGUGAAAUCUCCGGGCUUAACUCGGAACGGGCAAGUGAUACUGUCGGACUAGAGUACAGAAGGGGCAACUGGAAUUCUCGGUGUAGCGGUGAAAUGCGUAGAUAUCGAGAGGAACACCUGCGGCGAAGGCGGGUUGCUGGGCUGAUACUGACGCUGAGGCGCGAAAGCCAGGGGAGCGAACGGG
rnacentral:rRNA from 1 species